CCUACGGGUGGCUGCAGUGGGGAAUAUUGCUCAAUGGGCGCAAGCCUGAACCAGCCACGUCGCGUGGAGGAUGACUGCCCUACGGGUUGUAAACUUCUUUUAUAAAGGAGUAAAGUGAGGCACGUGUGCCUUUUUGUAUGUACUUUAUUAAUAAGGAUCGGCUAACUCCGUGCCAGCAGCCGCGGUAAUACGGAGGAUCCGUGCGUUAUCCGGAUUUAUUGGGUGUAAAGGGAGCGUAGAUGGGUCGUUAAGUCUGUUGUGAAAGUUUGCGGCUCAACCGUAAAAUUGCAAUUGAUACUGGCAGGCUUGAGUACAGGUGAGGUAGGCGGAAUUCGUGGUGUAGCGGUGAAAUGCUUAGAUAUAACGAAGAACUCCGAUGGCGAAGGCAGCUUACUAAACUGCCACUGACACUGAUGCUCGAAAGUGUGGGUAUCAAACAGGAUUAGAUACCCGGGUAGUC
rnacentral:rRNA from 1 species